UCCUACGGGAGGCAGCAGUAGGGAAUCUUCCGCAAUGGACGAAAGUCUGACGGAGCAACGCCGCGUGAGUGAUGAAGGUUUUCGGAUCGUAAAACUCUGUUGUUAGGGAAGAACAAGUUGGGUAGUAACUGACCCAACCUUGACGGUACCUAACCAGAAAGCCACGGCUAACUACGUGCCAGCAGCCGCGGUAAUACGUAGGUGGCAAGCGUUGUCCGGAAUUAUUGGGCGUAAAGCGCUCGCAGGCGGUCUUUUAAGUCUGAUGUGAAAGCCCACGGCUUAACCGUGGAGGGUCAUUGGAAACUGGAGGACUUGAGUACAGAAGAGGAGAGUGGAAUUCCACGUGUAGCGGUGAAAUGCGUAGAGAUGUGGAGGAACACCAGUGGCGAAGGCGACUCUCUGGUCUGUAACUGACACUGAGGCGCGAAAGCGUGGGGAGCAAACAGGAUUAGAUACCCUGGUAGUCCACGCCGUAAACGAUGAGUGCUAAGUGUUAGAGGGUUUCCGCCCUUUAGUGCUGAAGUUAACGCAUUAAGCACUCCGCCUGGGGAGUACGGCCGCAAGGCUGAAACUCAAAUGAAUUGACGGA
rnacentral:rRNA from 1 species